rnacentral:rRNA from 1 species
CCAAAAAGGGGCACCCUGAUCCGCAAUGCCGCGUGAGUGAACAAGGCCUUCGGGUUGUAAAGCUCUUUUGUCGGGAAGAAACAGCAGCUCUAACACAGUCUGCGAAUGACGGUACCUGAAGAAUAAGCACCGGCUAACUACGUGCCAGCAUCCGCGGUAAUACGUAGGGUGCGAGCGUUAAUCGGAAUUACUGGGCGUAAAGCGUGCGCAGGCGGUUAUACAAGACAGGCGUGAAAUCCCCGGGCUUAACCUGGGAAUGGCGCCUGUGACUGUAUAGCUAGAGUGUGUCAGAGGGGGGGAGAAUUCCACGUGGAGAAAAAAAUUCGUAGAUAUGUGUAGGAAUACCAAUGACUAAGGCAACCCCCUGGGAUAACACUGACGCUCAUGCCCCAAC